rnacentral:rRNA from 1 species
GGCCAUAUGCCACCCUAAAUCCUAUCAGUCUCAUGUGAUCUUGGAAGCUAAGCAUGGUCAGGCCGAGUUUAGUAUGAGAGCGAAGAAAGCAACCAAGGCUGUAGGGUCU